AUACGGAGGAUGCGAGCGUUAUCCGGAUUUAUUGGGUUUAAAGGGAGCGUAGGUGGGAUAUUAAGUCAGCUGUGAAAGUUUGGGGCUCAACCUUAAAAUUGCAGUUGAUACUGGUUUCCUUGAGUACGGUACAGGUGGGCGGAAUUCGUGGUGUAGCGGUGAAAUGCUUAGAUAUCACGAAGAACUCCGAUCGCGAAGGCAGCUCACCGGGCCGGAACUGACACUGAUGCUCGAAAGUGCGGGAAUCAAACAGGAUUAGAUACCCUGGUAGUCCGCACAGUAAACGAUGAAUACUCGCUGUUUGCGAUACACGGUAAGCGGCCAAGCGAAAGCGUUAAGUAUUCCACCUGGGGAGUACGCCGGCAACGGUGAAACUCAAAGGAAUUGGCGGGG
rnacentral:rRNA from 1 species